GAUGAAGAACGUAGCGAAAUGCGAUAAGUAGUGUGAAUUGCAGAAUUCAGUGAAUCAUCGAAUCUUUGAACGCACAUUGCGCCCCAUGGUAUUCCGUGGGGCAUGCCUGUUCGAGCGUCAUUUACCCCCUCAAGCUCCGCUUGGUGUUGGGCGUCUGUCCCGCUUCGCGCGCGGACUCGCCCCAAAGGUAUUGGCAGCGGUCGUGCCAGCUUCUCGCGCAGCACAUUGCGCUUCUCGAGGCACCGGUGGGCCCGCGUCCAUCAAGCUCACCCCCCCAGUUUGACCUCGGAUCAGGUAGGGAUACCCGCUGAACUUAAGCAUAUCAUAAGCGGAGGA
rnacentral:misc_RNA from 1 species